UCAAUCCUUCCCUCCUACUGGAAAAAAGCUUAUAAGAAUGAAAUGAAAAGUCUGACAUUCAGAUGCUGUGCCACUGAAGAGAAGUAUUCUAACACCACAUUAGAAGUAUUCUAAUACAAAGCCCAUCUAAAAUUCUUCUAAACAUUUAAUAAUGCAAAAAUCUUCUUUCUUAGAGGAAAAUAUAUUCAUUGUAAAGACUUUCCCAGGAAAAUAUUAAAAUUGCACCAGGGAAAUCCUAAACCACUUAAUAAUGACAAUAUUCUCAAAACCAAAGUCCAAUCUCAGUACAGACAAGUUACAAACCACAUUCUUUUCUCCUUC
rnacentral:lncRNA from 1 species